GAUAGCGGAUAGUACCGUGAGGGAAUGGUGAAAAGUACCGCGGGAGCGGAGUGAAAUAGUACCUGAAACCGUGUGCCUACAAGCCGUGGGAGCGUCGGAACAAGGCUUGCCUUGUUCUCGUGACUGCGUGCCUUUUGAAGAAUGAGCCUGCGAGUUUGCGGUGUGUUGCGAGGUUAACCCGAGUGGGGAAGCCGUAGCGAAAGCGAGUCCGAAU
rnacentral:ncRNA from 1 species